GAUGAACGCUAGCUACAGGCUUAACACAUGCAAGUCGAGGGGCAGCGCAGUGUAGCAAUACAUGGGCGGCGACCGGCGCACGGGUGCGUAACGCGUAUCCAACCUUCCCGUUACUCAGGGAUAGCCUUCCGAAAGGGAGAUUAAUACCUGAUGGUGUUGAAAUUCCGCAUGUUAUUUCAACUAAAGAUUUAUCGGUAACGGAUGGGGAUGCGUGACAUUAGGUAGAUGACGGGGUAACGGCCCACCAUGCCUACGAUGUCUAGGGGUUCUGAGAGGAAGGUCCCCCACACUGGAACUGAGACACGGUCCAG
rnacentral:rRNA from 1 species